CGUCUUUAUGCUCUCAAAAGGACGUGCUGCUUGUUGAGCCUGCAUUUCCUCAGAGGUAGGGCCCAUGUGGGUGUGUCAGGCUGGAUCUCAUCUAUAAAGGAAGCUCCUUGUCCCUCCCUGUCUGCUGAUCAGUCGUCUUUCUCAGUGUGUCUGGAGGUCCUGAGGAAGCUGAUCGGCCAAACAUUGAAUGGAGCUUUUGUCUGGACUGUAUUAUAGGUUACUGGGAAUAUUCUGACUUGGCAGGGGACCAAAGUGACUCUCAGUGCAGAUAAUAGAGUCACUGAAAGAAAUGGACGCCGGUGACUCGACAUCUCAGAGCAACAUGGGGCCUGGCUCUGUCCUCUGUGAUGUGUGUCCUGGGCCAGAACAGAGCGCCGUCAAGACCUGCCUGACCUGCAUGGCCUCCUACUGUGAGACUCACCUCCAACCUCACAGGGUCUCUGAAGCGCUGAAGACACACAAACUGAAGGAGCCGAUUAGAAACCUCCAUGAGAGAAUCUGCACAAGACAUCAGAGAGUUCUGGAAAUCUUCUGUAGGACCGAUGAGACCUGCAUCUGCUCGAUGUGUGUGGCAACUGAACAUAAAAGCCAUGACACGGUGACACCUGAGGAGGAGAGAGCAGAGCGACAGGGUGACCUGGAAAACACAAAGGCUGAAAUGAGAAGGAGAAUUGAGGAGAAACAGAACAAACUGGUGGAGAUGAAUGAGAAAGCAGAGAGGAUUAGGAGCACUGCGGAGACAGAAUUGCAGGACUUCGAGGAGACCUUUGUUUCUCUUCUGAUUCUGAGGUCAAUUGGCCUCGAUCUGAUUAGAGAGCACGAGAACAGGGAACUGCACAAGGCUGAACAGCUCAUGAUGCGACUGGAAAAGGAGAUCAGAAAGCUGAGGAGGACACACGCUGAGCUGGCCGAGCUUUCAGAGACCAACGACCACAUCCACUUCCUCCGGAUGUACUCAUCUGUCAGUCUCCCCCCUGAAGAUCAGGACUCACCUGAGGCCUCUGUUAAUGAACUUGUCCUUCCUGAGACUCUGAGGAUGAACCUGUCUCGUCUGAAGAGGAAACUCUGGGAGAUCAGUGAGUGGGAAUUUGUGCCGAGCAGUGACACCGGUGUCAACACUUCUGGAAGCAGCCCACAAGAUCUGAGCAGUAGAAAUGGACUUAGACAAUACUUCUGUCCGCUCACCUUGGACCCCAACACAGCAAACGCGUGGCUUCACCUGUCUGAGAGGAACAAGAAAGUGAUAUUUCAGGGGAUGGUGUCCCCGUGUCCUGACCAUCCCGACAGGUUUGACUGGUGGUUCCAAGUUCUGUGUCAAGAGGCUCUGAAUGGGACUCGCUGUUACUGGGAGGUUGAGUGGAGCGGAGAAGGGGCAGCGAUGGGAGUCACUUAUAAAGGAAUCAGAAGGCAAGGAGAUGGCCAUGAGUGCCGCCUUGGCUUCAAUGACCAGUCCUGGAUUUUGUCCUGCUCUCAUUUCAGUUGCUCUCUGUGGCACAGUGAGACAAAGACAGAAAUUAGCAUCCCCCCCAGUCAAAGAAUAGGCCUGCAUCUGGACUACAGCGCUGGCUCUCUGUCCUUUUAUAGCAUCUCAGACACAAUGACCCUCAUCCACAGGUUCAAUGCCACCUUCACUGAGCCCCUCUAUGCUGGGUUUUGGGUUGGACAGAACUCCAGUGUGACAAUCUGCCCUCUGUGCCCAUCUGACCUGUGACUGGUGUCAUCGGCAGGUCACUUCUCGUCUUCUUUCACAUGUUGGAGUUCAUUUUUUAUUUCAUUCUUAAAUAUCAAAGAAGCCCCCUGCCAAUGGAUAUUCUGCCAUUGAUGCUCUCUGAGUCAUCAUUCUGUGUGGUCCUCAGCAUUAAAACAAUGAGAGCAGAUGACCUUCCACUGAGAGGACAUUAAGCGUCCCCCUUCAAGGUCCCGAAACUCUUCUUAGUUGAGCGUCUUUCAUGUCAGUGUGGCUCAGUGGUUAGCAUGGUGGCCUCACAGCUCUCUUAAACUAAAGUUCAAAUCCCAGCCUGGUUGAUAUCUGUGGAAUUUCUGUGCUUUCUCAAUCCUUAAUGCUUUUAUCCCAAGCCCCUUACCUAAAUCUUAUAUUUGAUGAGUGUGCUGGGUUGGACUGGCACCCUACCCAAGGCUGGGGUCUUCCCUUCUGAUCAGGAUUGACUUUAGCUUCAUGUGAUCCUAUGUCUGGUUCAUAUGGGCUCCUUGAAUGAAGAGUUUGGUGAGCAGAUGGAUGACUGCACCCGUCCCUUUGUUUUUAUCUGCCCACUGGUUCUUCCCCUUCUUCUCCAUCAGACUCAGCUAACAUGAUGAUGGCUUUGACCACCAUGACAUUAGUGGCCCUUAAAGUGGCCUCACCAGGUGGACGUCUCCAGCAGACCCCAUGACGUCAACGCAGAUACAGAGAGAUGCCAGCAUGAGUCUGAUGGAGU